rnacentral:lncRNA from 10 species
AAGUAGUUCCCAAAAUCUAUGCAUAUGACAGAGAAGAAUUAGAUGGCCUUUGAGAGACCCAGAAGAAAAUGCAAAAAGGAAUAGGGAAAAAAAGGGCAAAGCAACCUGCUGUGAGCCUCCUAAUCUUCCAUGGCCUGAAUUCCCAGCGCUUGAGGGAACAAGCCCUGUGAAAAACAAGCUGCUGUCCCUGCUAGAGGCAUCCUGCAAUCCAUGGAUGUUUAUCACCAAGCCAUUGUUAACAUGAGG